ensembl:antisense Gm11973 predicted gene 11973
CGGUUCUCGCGCACCAGGAACUCGCUCUUGAGCGCGCGGCGCAGCCCGCCGCCCUCCUCGGCGCCCGCCGCCAGCUGCUCGGGGCUGCUGGGACCCAGCUGCGCGUAGUGCUCGAUGAAGUCGCCCAGCGAGUCGCGGAACUCGGCGGCCACCGCCAUCGACAGCGUGAGGCGGCUCUUGGAGCCGCCCGCGCCCACCUCGGCGAUCUUGAGGAAGCGGCCCUUGGCGUUCUGCUUCACGUCCAGAGGACCCAGGUUCGAGUCUCAGAAGACACACACGGCAGCCCAUAGCCAUGUAUAAUUCCAGUUCCAGGGGAUCCAGCACCCUCCUCUGGCCUUCUUGAGCACCUGCACACACAUGGUUAACAUACAUGCAGGUUGACUUCUGCGCUCUCCCUGGUCAUCAGGUCCUGGGCAUUCAGAUACAAAGACAAGCAAUGUCUCCACGUCACAUCACUGCUCCCAACUCUCUAUUUGGUGCUUUGAAAAGCACUGCUCAGACUGGCCUGGCGGUGCAUGAAUAAGCCCAGCUCUCAGGGACAAGAAAGAUCAGAACUGCAGGAGGAGGGGUUCUUGCCUGUUUGUGUGUCGGUGCAUUGCAUGCCCACUGAGGGUGUGAUGGCUAAAGAAACUCCAUUUUGUGUUGGGAGUUCAUCUUGGUACCAAAUAGCCAUUUGUCUCUGACUCAAGUUCCUGGAAGACAUUCAAGGACUGUUCUGAAGUCACCUUGACCCUCCAUCUAAUCCGGGUAGAGCAGGACAGCCCCCAUGGGUUUUACCUUUAAAUGUCCUUCCUGCUCCCUCAUCUGACUCUGAUUGAGUGCAGCCUUGCCAGAAGUUCUAAUAAAUUCUGCUAAUUAUAAUCAGAA